UCAAUGCUUUUAAAAAUAUAAAGUCAUUGAUGCUUGUAGGUUUGCAGUUAUUGAAUUAAAAGGUGUGCGGUUAGGAUGAUAGUGAUUUCCUAAAGUUAAGUGGGUGAGUGGUUGAAUAGUAUGAUUUAAUCGGUGGGUGAGUGGUUGAAUAGUAUGGUCUAAUCGGUGAAAAUGAUCCAAGUGAUUGAGCUAACAGCGGAAAACGUACAAGCACCAAGUGUCAAUGCUCCCACCCACUCAGCCUUAGGAUACCAAUAUUAUCCCAACCGCACAUCUUUUAAUUUAAUGACCGAAAACCACAAGUAUCAAUCAAUUGAUACUUUCAAAAGUAUGGGAGUUUAAUUCUCUCUCUCUCUCUCUCUCUCUCUCUCUCUCUCUCUCUAAGCUAGAGUUAGUAUAUUUUGAUGAGUAGAAACUUUUUUUGUACUUAUAGGGUUGAGUGGGUGGUUGGUUGAGUUGUAUGAUCUAACAUGUAAAAAUUGUCAAAGAAGUAGAUCUAAUGGUCGAAAAUUUAUAAGUAUAAAUAAAAUCUAUACUCAUAAGAAUAUAGUAGCCGAACUCUCUCUCACUCUCUCUCUUUCUCUCUCCACACAAACACACACACACACACACACACACACACAUAUAGUUGAGGUGGAAUGCUGUCGAUAACAAACGUGCUCCGUUGCCACCAAUUUAUUUUCGAUAAUAGAGCAUUCAAAUCGAACCUUUGAACAUUAUCUAUACCAUUUGAAAUAUCUAAAAACCAAAUUUUAAAUCUUUUCGAUAUCAUUAACCUAAUAAUCAAAGGGUUUCAAAAUUUGUAAUUUUAAUUGUGGAUAGGAAGCGUUUUCUUGUUUAACGAUGUAGUGAUAUUCAAAUCAAUUGAAUUUUGGUUAGAAAAUUUUUUAAACUAUUUAGAACAAGAUCUAUACUCUCGACCUUGAUUAUAAAAUUCCUAUCAUCACUUUUUAGAGAUAAUCAUUUUUAGCUGUUUAUUUUUACGCCCACUUGAUGGACAAGAGAACAAUAUCGAAAAAGAAUGAAAUUUGAUUUCUAGAUAAUUCAAGUGGUAUAGAUCAUUUUCAACGGUGCCAAUCGUCGAUUUGGAGGCUUCAUCAUUGAAAACAAAUGGAUGACAACGAAACCUGUUUGCUACCGAUAGUAUUCCAGUUCAACUCUCUCUUUCUCUCUUUCUAUAUAUAUAAAUAUAUAGAACUAGGUUAGAAUACUAUCAAUAGCGCCAAGCUAUUGACGCUAUUAGUUUUUUAGCUAUUGGAUUGAAAAAUAUGUGGUUAGGAUGAUAUAGGCCUCUUAAGGUUGAGUGAGUGGUUGAUUUAAUAGUAUAAUCUAACGGAUAAAAAUAAUCAAAUAAUUAAAUCUAACAGUAAAAAACUCUAUAGCACAAAAUCCUUAGUCCUAUUAAUAGUAUCCCUUUUCGACUUUCUCUCUCUCUCUCUCUCUCUCUCUCUCUCUCUCUCUAAGCUAGAGUUAGUAUAUUUUGAUGAGUAGAAACUUUUUUUGUACUUAUAGGGUUGAGUGGGUGGUUGGUUGAGUUGUAUGAUCUAACAUGUAAAAAUUGUCAAAGAAGUAGAUCUAAUGGUCGAAAAUUUAUAAGUAUAAAUAAAAUCUAUACUCAUAAGAAUAUAGUAGCCGAACUCUCUCUCACUCUCUCUCUUUCUCUCUCCACACAAACACACACACACACACACACACACACACAUAUAGUUGAGGUGGAAUGCUGUCGAUAACAAACGUGCUCCGUUGCCACCAAUUUAUUUUCGAUAAUAGAGCAUUCAAAUCGAACCUUUGAACAUUAUCUAUACCAUUUGAAAUAUCUAAAAACCAAAUUUUAAAUCUUUUCGAUAUCAUUAACCUAAUAAUCAAAGGGUUUCAAAAUUUGUAAUUUUAAUUGUGGAUAGGAAGCGUUUUCUUGUUUAACGAUGUAGUGAUAUUCAAAUCAAUUGAAUUUUGGUUAGAAAAUUUUUUAAACUAUUUAGAACAAGAUCUAUACUCUCGACCUUGAUUAUAAAAUUCCUAUCAUCACU
rnacentral:lncRNA from 1 species